rnacentral:rRNA from 1 species
GAUGAACGCUGGCGGCGUGCCUAAUACAUGCAAGUCGAGCGAACGGACGAGAAGCUUGCUUCUCUGAUGUUAGCGGCGGACGGGUGAGUAACACGUGGAUAACCUACCUAUAAGACUGGGAUAACUUCGGGAAACCGUAGCUAAUACCGGAUAAUAUUUUGAACCGCAUGGUUCAAAAGUGAAAGACGGUCUUGCUGUCACUUAUAGAUGGAUCCGCGCUGCAUUAGCUAGUUGGUAAGGUAACGGCUUACCAAGGCAACGAUGCAUAGCCGACCUGAGAGGGUGAUCGGCCACACUGGAACUGAGACACGAUCCAGACUCCUACGGGAGGCAGCAGUAGGGAAUCUUCCGCAAUGGGCGAAAGCCUGACGGAGCAACGCCGCGUGAGUGAUGAAGGUCUUCGGAUCGUAAAACUCUGUUAUUAGGGAAGAACAUAUGUGUAAGUAACUGUGCACAUCUUGACGGUACCUAAUCAGAAAGCCACGGCUAACUACGUG